rnacentral:rRNA from 1 species
GACGAACGCUGGCGGCGUGCUUAACACAUGCAAGUCGAACGAAGUGGCGAAAGGGUGAGUAACGCGUAAUCAACCUGCCCUUCAGAGGGGGACAACAGUUGGAAACGACUGCUAAUACCGAAUACUGAAGGAGGGGAUUCCGGCUGAUUAGCUAGUUGGAGGGGUAAUGGCCCACAAAGGCGAGGAUCCGUAGACGUGCUGGGAGGAUGAGCGGCCAAAUGGUGACUGAGACACGGCCCAGACUCCUACGGGAGGCAGCAGUGGGGAAUCUUCCGCAAUUGACGAAAGUCUGACGGAGCAACGCCGCGUGAGUGAUGACGGCCUUCGGGUUGUAAAGCUCUGUUAAUCGGGACGCGGUACCGGAAUAGAAAGCCACGGCUAACUACGUGCCAGCAGCCGCGGUAAUAC